UACGUAGGGUGCAAGCGUUAUCCGGAAUUAUUGGGCGUAAAGAGCUCGUAGGCGGUUUGUCGCGUCUGCUGUGAAAACCCGAGGCUCAACCUCGGGCCUGCAGUGGGUACGGGCAGACUGGAGUGCGGUAGGGGAGAAUGGAAUUCCUGGUGUAGCGGUGGAAUGCGCAGAUAUCGGGAGGAACACCAAUGGCGAAGGCAGCUUGCUGGGACGGUACUGACGCUGAGGCGCGAAAGCGUGGGGAGCAAACAGG
rnacentral:rRNA from 1 species